rnacentral:misc_RNA from 1 species
UUCAGGACGAUCAAAGGCACAUGGGUGAAGGCUCCAGCAACCAUCACAAAGGGUAUAAAAGAAAACUGAAGAAAAAUUACACUUUUUUACUUGGAUUAAUGAAGCCUGAAAGAGAGAGAGGGAGACGGGGGAAAAAAGAAAAAUUGAUCCAACAAAACAAUGACCUGGCAAGACAAAAAAGAAAAAGCAAAAAGAAAAACAAAGAAGAAACAUACUACCACGCUAGCUGUCCAAUGCCGGCAUACAGGCAUCAUCACGAACCUAUGCAAUUUAAUCAGGCCAAACAACUUUACCCUGCUGCUAGCCGCGUCACGGCGUCGGGGCGGCUGGCGGCGUGCCUCCGGACCGCGACGGCUCCUCUUCCGACGUGCCCCUUACGCCCUCGCUCUCCUCCUCCGUCGCGGUCGCCGUCGUCGUCCGGCCGCCGCCGAUCUCCUCGAUCAUCCGGACCACGUCGGGGGCGUCCAGCCGCGCGUCCGGGACGGUGGCCACGCACGCCAUGGCCACCUGCAGCAGCGCCACCAUCUCCUCCUCGGCGCUGGCGCCCAGGCGCACCAGCUCGACGUCGAACACCUCGGCGGUCCACUCCUCCCGCACCACGGACUGCACCCACCGGGGCAGGUCCAGCGUGCCGUCGCCCUCCAGCGACGCGUGCGAGGGGGACCUCCCCGUCAGGAGCUCCAGCAGGAGCACGCCCAGCGAGUACACGUCCGACUUGAACGUCAGCCGGCGCGCGUCCACCACCUCCGGGGCGCGGUACCCUCCGGCCCGCGUCGUCGACGGCGCGAACAGCCGGUGGAGGCUCAAGUCGGAGAGCGCCGCGGCGUCGGCGUCCGCGCGGAGCAGGACGUUCGAGGCCUUCACGUUGCCGUGCACAAGGUUGUGCGCCGUGUGCAGGUGCGCCAGCCCGCGCGCGGCCGACAGCGCGAACCGCAUCCGCGUCUCCCAGUCCAGUGGCGUCCGCCCCGAGCCCCGGCUCCCUGCGCGUGGAUGCACAAACUCUCCCCCCAUCAGAAAGCUCGAGUACAUGGGAAAAGGAACAUCUCGCAAAGAUUCAGUGACUCCAUCCAAAUGCCAACUGAGCAACGCACACCGUUUUUUUUUAUUGCACGUAUAUGGGAACAAAAGUUCACGUUCACAAAAUUCAUGCUGUUGGCUCUGGCUGGCACUAAAAACCACACACGUCACAGCGUGAUACUGCAUCCAGCGUUGCAGCGUAUAGCGAGGAC